rnacentral:rRNA from 1 species
UACGUAGGGAGCAAGCGUUGUUCGGAUUUACUGGGCGUAAAGGGCGCGUAGGCGGCGCGGUAAGUCACUUGUGAAAUCUCUGAGCUUAACUCAGAACGGCCAAGUGGUACUGCAGUGCUAGAGUGCAGAAGGGGCAAUCGGAAUUCUUGGUGUAGCGGUGAAAUGCGUAGAUAUCAAGAGGAACACCUGAGGUGAAGACGGGUUGCUGGGCUGACACUGACGCUGAGGCGCGAAAGCCAGGGGAGCAAACGGG